rnacentral:rRNA from 1 species
UUUUUUUUUUAAGACCGAUCGGCGACGCUAUAGCUUUGGGUACUUUCAGGACCCGUCUUGAAACACGGACCAAGGAGUCUAGCAUGUACGCGAGUCAUUGGGAAUCACUAAACCUAAAGGCGUAAUGAAAGUGAAGGUCUUCCUCGCGAAGACCGAGGGAAGACGGACGGUUACGUUAAACCGCCCUCAAAAGUGGGACCGUCCUGCAUUCCCGGGGCGUCUCGUUCACAUCGCGUGAAGAGGCGCACCAAGAGCGUACACGCUGGGACCCGAAAGAUGGUGAACUAUGCCUGGUCAGGACGAAGUCAGGGGAAACCCUGAUGGAGGUCCGUAGCGAUUCU